GCCUGCAUGAAGUUGGAAUUGCUAGUAAUCGCGGAUCAGCAUGCCGCGGUGAAUACGUUCCCGGGGAUUGUACACACCGCCCGUCACACCAUGAGAGUCGGGAACACCCAAAGUCCGUAGUCUAACCGCAAGGAGGACGCGGCCUAAGGUGGGUUCGAUAAUUGGGUGAAGUCGUAACAAGGUAAC
rnacentral:rRNA from 1 species